rnacentral:lncRNA from 1 species
GCCUUCAGCCAGAAUGCUGGCUUUAUUUUUGCGGUUUAUGAGCUUGAGACAGGGAAUUCAUUUCCUUGGUAUAAUAUGACCCUCUGGAGAAAGUCUUGUCCAGAUAUAUUUUGCUCCCAAACGCCGCCCUAGAAGAAGGACUACACUGAAAUGAAACGGAGAUGAUUAAAGUCUGAUUUAUAGGCUGUACAAGCCCUGAAAGCAAGAACGGGGUUCACGGCAUCUUGAUACCCCCAUGUGGGGACGUUUUGGCGAUUUUAUUUACAAGAAAGGGAUUUUACACCGGAGAGGCUUUUAAAUAUGCUAACAGACUGGACCAGCUUUCUCAUCCCCACUGGCUGAUUAAUGAUUCCUCCAUGCCAACCCGGUUCUCAGAGACACCAAGGCCAGCUCUCCAAAGACCUGGGAAAAAAUUACUUCAUGUCCUUGUAAAAACGUUUUCACAAAUUUAAGUGCACCAGCUUUGAAGCAAGACAGAAUUGGGAUCAAGUCCCUGUUCCACCCUUACCAGAAAGUCUUUUCGUAGCUCACAAGGGGACAUCAAAGAUGACAAAGAGGAGUGGAAGAAGACAGAGAGAAUCAAUGUGAGGAGCCUGGAACAGGGCUCUGAAUUGUCUUCCCACAGUGAAAUCACUUGUCUAUUGCUGAGCCAAGAAUUUGACUCUGAGCAUCUAGGAUGAGAAAGAAGAACUGGCACCUACGCCAUCUCUGCCCCUCGGGACUGACUAUUUUG